rnacentral:sRNA from 1 species
CCGAUACCAUCGGCGCAAGGCCCAGCAGAUGACCCAGAAAUAUGAGGAGGAGCUGACGCUGACCAGGGAGAACUCCAUCCGGCGGCUGCAUUCCCAUCACACGGACCCCAGGAGCCAGAGUGAAGAGCCUGAGGGCCGCAGUUACUCCACGCUGACCACGGUGAGGGAGAUAGAAACGCAGACUGAACUGCUGUCUCCAGGCUCUGGGCGGGCCGAGGAGGAGGAUCAGGAUGAAGGCAUCAAACAGGCCAUGAACCAUUUUGUUCAGGAGAAUGGGACCCUACGGGCCAAGCCCACAGGCAAUGGCAUCUAUAUCAAUGGGCGGGGACACCUGGUCUGACCCAGGCCUGCCUCCCUUCCCUAGGCCUGGCUCCUUCUGUUGACAUGGGAGAUUUUAGCUCAUCUUGGGGGCCUCCUUAAACACCCCCAUUUCUUGCGGAAGACGCUCCCCAUCCCACUGACUGCUUGACCUUUACCUCCAACCCUUCUGUUCAUCGGGAGGGCUCCACCGAUUGAGUCUCUCCCACCAUGCAUGCAGGUCACUGUGUGUGUGCAUGUGUGCCUGUGUGAGUGUUGACUGACUGUGUGUGUGGAGGGGUGACUGUGUCCUUGGAGGGGUGACUGUGUCCGUGGUGUGUAUUAUGCUGUCAUAUCAGAGUCAAGUGAACUGUGGGGUAUGUGCCACAGGAUUUGAGUGGUUGCGUGGGCAACACUGUCAGGGUUUGGCGUGUGUGUCAUGUGGCUGUGUGUGACCUCUGCCUGAAAAAGCAGGUAUUUUCUCAGACCCCAGAGCAGUAUUAAUGAUGCAGAGGUUGGAGGUGAGAGGUGGAGACUGUGGGUCAGACCCAGGUGUGCGGGCAU